GACGAACGCUGGCGGCGUGCUUAACACAUGCAAGUCGAACGGAAAGGCCCUGCUUUUGUGGGGUGCUCGAGUGGCGAACGGGUGAGUAACACGUGAGUAACCUGCCCUUGACUUUGGGAUAACUUCAGGAAACUGGGGCUAAUACCGGAUAGGAGCUCCUGCUGCAUGGUGGGGGUUGGAAAGUUUCGGCGGUUGGGGAUGGACUCGCGGCUUAUCAGCUUGUUGGUGGGGUAGUGGCUUACCAAGGCUUUGACGGGUAGCCGGCCUGAGAGGGUGACCGGCCACAUUGGGACUGAGAUACGGCCCAGACUCCUACGGGAGGCAGCAGUGGGGAAUAUUGCACAAUGGGCGGAAGCCUGAUGCAGCAACGCCGCGUGCGGGAUGACGGCCUUCGGGUUGUAAACCGCUUUCGCCUGUGACGAAGCGUGAGUGACGGUAAUGGGUAAAGAAGCACCGGCUAACUACGUGCCAGCAGCCGCGGUGAUACGUAGGGUGCGAGCGUUGUCCAGAUUUAUUGGGCGUAAAGGGCUCGUAGGUGGUUGAUCGCGUCGGAAGUGUAAUCUUGGGGCUUAGCCCUGAGCGUGCUUUCGAUACGGGUUGACUUGAGGAAGGUAGGGGAGAAUGGAAUUCCUGGUGGAGCGGUGGAAUGCGCAGAUAUCAGGAGGAACACCAGUGGCGAAGGCGGUUCUCUGGGCCUUUCCUGACGCUGAGGAGCGAAAGCGUGGGGAGCGAACAGGCUUAGAUACCCUGGUAGUCCACGCUGUAAACGGUGGGUACUAGGUGUGGGGUCCAUUCCACGGGUUCCGUGCCGUAGCUAACGCUUUAAGUACCCCGCCUGGGGAGUACGGCCGCAAGGCUAAAACUCAAAGGAAUUGACGGGGCCCCGCACAAGCGGCGGAGCAUGCGGAUUAAUUCGAUGCAACGCGUAGAACCUUACCUGGGUUUGACAUGGAUCGGGAGUGCUCAGAGAUGGGUGUGCCUCUUUUGGGGUCGGUUCACAGGUGGUGCAUGGCUGUCGUCAGCUCGUGUCGUGAGAUGUUGGGUUAAGUCCCGCAACGAGCGCAACCCUUGUUCACUGUUGCCAGCACGUUAUGGUGGGGACUCAGUGGAGACCGCCGGGGUCAACUCGGAGGAAGGUGGGGAUGACGUCAAGUCAUCAUGCCCCUUAUGUCCAGGGCUUCACGCAUGCUACAAUGGCUGGUACAGAGAGUGGCGAGCCUGUGAGGGUGAGCGAAUCUCGGAAAGCCGGUCUCAGUUCGGAUUGGGGUCUGCAACUCGACCUCAUGAAGUCGGAGUCGCUAGUAAUCGCAGAUCAGCAACGCUGCGGUGAAUACGUUCCCGGG
rnacentral:rRNA from 1 species